UUGGAGGGCAAGUCUGGUGCCAGCAGCCGCGGUAAUUCCAGCUCCAAUAGCGUAUAUUAAAGUUGUUGCAGUUAAAAAGCUCGUAGUUGAAUUUCGGGAUCAGAUUGUCGGUCGUGCCUCGGUACGCACUGGCAUUAUUGGUUCCUACCUUCUGAAGAACCGCGAUGUCAUUAAUUUGGUGUCGUGGGGAAUCAGGACUGUUACUUUGAAAAAAUUAGAGUGUUUAAAGCAGGCGCACGCUUGAAUACAUUAGCGUGGAAUAAUGAAAUAGGACGUUUGAUUCUAUUUUGUUGGUUUCUAGGAUCGACGUAAUGAUUAAUAGGGAUAGUUGGGGGCAUUAGUAUUCAAUUGUCAGAGGUGAAAUUCUUGGAUUUAUUGAAGACUAACUACUGCGAAAGCAUUUGCCAAGGAUGUUUUCAUUAAUCAAGAACGAAAGUUAGGGGAUCGAAGACGAUCAGAUACCGUCGUAGUCUUAACCAUAAACUAUGCCGACUAGGGAUCGGAUGAUGUUAAUUUUUUAAUGACUCAUUCGGCGCCUUACGGGAAAC
rnacentral:rRNA from 1 species